rnacentral:rRNA from 1 species
UACGUAGGGACCGAGCGUUGUCCGGAUUCAUUGGGCGUAAAGAGCUCGUAGGCGGCUGUUCAAGUCGAACGUGAAAACUCGGAGCUCAACUCCGAGCCUGCGUUCGAUACUGGACGGCUAGAGUCUGGUAGGGGGGAUCUGGAAUUCCUGGUGUAGCGGUGGAAUGCGCAGAUAUCAGGAGGAACACCGGUGGCGAAGGCGGCUUCCUGGACCGACACUGACGCUGAGGCGCGAAAGCUAGGGGAGCAAACGGG